rnacentral:rRNA from 1 species
AGCGAACGCUGGCGGCGUGCCUAACACAUGCAAGUCGAACGUGAAAGGGAGCAAUCCCAAGUAAAGUGGCGUACGGGUGAGUAACACGUAGGUAAUCUACCCCAGAAUCUGGAAUAACCGGCCGAAAGGCUGGCUAAUACUGGAUAGAGCGACGGAAUCCGUAAUUGGGUUUUUCGGGAAAGGGAGCCUGUAAAAAGGCCCUCGUUCUGGGAUGAGCCUGCGUCCCAUCAGCUAGUUGGUGAGGUAAAAGCUUACCAAGGCAAUGACGGGUAGCUGGUCUGAGAGGACGAUCAGCCACACUGGAACUGAAACACGGUCCAGACUCCUACGGGAGGCAGCAGUGGGGAAUCUUGCGCAAUGGACGAAAGUCUGACGCAGCAACGCCGCGUGAGUGAAGAAGGCCUUCGGGUUGUAAAGCUCUGUCGAGUGGGACGAAAAUGCUUGGAGUUCACAGCUCCAGGAACUGACGGUACCACUAAAGGAAGCACCGGCUAACUCCGUG